GAUGAACGCUGGCGGCGUGCCUAAUACAUGCAAGUCGAGCGAACGGACGAGAAGCUUGCUUCUCUUAUGUUUGCGGCGGACGGGGGAGUAACACGUGGAUAACCUACCUAUAAGACUGGGAUAACUUCGGGAAACCGGAGCUAAUACCGGAUAAUAUUUUGAACCGCAUUGUUCAAAAGUAAAAGACGGUCUUUCUGUCACUUAUAGAUGGAUCCGCGCUGCAUUAGCUAGUUGGUAAGGUAACGGCUUACCAAGGCAACGAUGCAUAGCCGACCUGAGAGGGUGAUCGGCCACACUGGAACUGAGACACGGUCCAGACUCCUACGGGAGGCAGCAGUAGGGAAUCUUCCGCAAUGGGCGAAAGCCUGACGGAGCAACGCCGCGUGAGUGAUGAAGGUCUUCGGAUCGUAAAACUCUGUUAUUAGGGAAGAACAUAUGUGUAAGUAACUGUGCACAUCUUGACGGUACCUAAUCAGAAAGCCACGGCUAACUACGUG
rnacentral:rRNA from 1 species